UGGGGCACUGUAGCAGCAAAGUACAGUCGUUGCCAUAGCAACAAAAUAUUUUUACUCUCUCUGCAGUUCAUUUCCGCUACAUGGAAACAUGGAUACAGACUGUAAAGGGAGUACAAAAUGAUUGUUCGUUCUGUUAGUGUCAUGUGCGCAAUUCGAAAGCUGGAGGAUCACAGCAAAGAUCAGACCAUUUAGGAAAAUUGACUUAUGGCAUCAAAAAACUGUUAGGGGCCGAACGGUGAUGCGCAAGCGUUACUUGCUACGGUUAGUUCAACGGUAGCCCUGUCAAUCCAAUGGAUAGACAUAACAUUGGUGUUGAACAAAUUUCUUUGGGUAGCAGAAGAUUGGAAGAGAAGUGAAUUAGAGAGCGAUGUGCUUUGACACCCACUUGAAUACUGGGAGGGUUUUAUCGACUCUGGAGGCGAGAUCAUUCCAUCAAGUCAGGGCCAAAACUAAGAAUCCACAGGAUUUUAAUUUUGAACCCCUCAUUAGUGGGAAAAGGAAGCGGACAGAGGUGCAGCUGCACAGGUCAAGGAGAGGAGACACAUGGCAGCACUUGAUGUCAGAAGCCUGAAGACCAGGCAGAAGGGCGUUGUGGUGGUACAGGUGAGACGUCACCAUAAUCUGGGAGAAAAGGAAGCCAAACCAUCUGGUAAGAUCUACCUGAGAAAUGUGUUCCUCCCCUGGGUUAGAGCUUGGCUUGACCGACCCCUCGCAAGCCUUGCAGCUGCAUCCCAGCCAGCACUCACAGCUGUUUCCAAUAUGAAAGCUUCCUUAAAGAGAUCUGUGCUGUGAGGAAGAGCCUUCAGCGACAGAGAACAAGAGGAAUCUUGCAGGAUCCGUCCAAAUGGUACAACCUACACACAAAGGACAGUGUUACAUGGAAAAAAGACAUGGAGGAAGACAAGCACUGGCAGCUCUGCUUGCUCCUCAAGGAAGUACAACUGGACAACUGUAGGGAUGUCAAAGUGAAGCUAAAACAUUGAAGUUCAACAUGGGAAUGCAGGUGGGGGGUCCGGUGGUGCGGCGGGUUUGGCUAGGACCUGUUCUCCGA
rnacentral:lncRNA from 1 species